GGUUAAGUGACUAAGCGUACACGGUGGAUGCCUUGGCAGUCAGAGGCGAUGAAGGACGUAUUAACUUGCGAUAAGCCCAGAUUAGGUAGUAAAAACCAUUUGAGUCUGGGAUUUCCGAAUGGGGAAACCCACUUACAUAAGUAAGUAUCGCUGCGUGAAUACAUAGCGCAGCGAGGCGAACCGGGGGAACUGAAACAUCUAAGUACCCCGAGGAAAAGAAAUCAACCGAGAUUCCGAAAGUAGCGGCGAGCGAAAUUGGACUAGCCCUUAAGCUUUUUAUGCGUCAGGUGAAACUUCUGGAAAGUUGUGCGAUACAGGGUGAUAGCCCCGUAACCGGCAACGCAUAUAAAGUGAAAUCGAGUAGGGCGGGACACGUGAUAUCCUGUCUGAAUAUGGGGGGACCAUCCUCCAAGGCUAAAUACUACUGACUGACCGAUAGUGAACCAGUACCGUGAGGGAAAGGCGAAAAGAACCCCUGUGAGGGGAGUGAAAUAGAACCUGAAACCGUGUACGUACAAGCAGUAGGAGCACCUUCGUGGUGUGACUGCGUACCUUUUGUAUAAUGGGUCAGCGACUUAUAUUCAGUGGCAAGGUUAACCAUCUAGGGGAGCCGUAGGGAAACCGAGUCUUAACUGGGCGUUCAGUCUCUGGAUAUAGACCCGAAACCAGGUGAUCUAGCCAUGGGCAGGUUGAAGGUUGAGUAACAUCAACUGGAGGACCGAACCGACUAAUGUUGAAAAAUUAGCGGAUGACUUGUGGCUAGGGGUGAAAGGCCAAUCAAACCUGGAGAUAGCUGGUUCUCCCCGAAAGCUAUUUAGGUAGCGCCUCGGACGAAUACUACUGGGGGUAGAGCACUGUUAAGGCUAGGGGGUCAUCCCGACUUACCAACCCUUUGCAAACUCCGAAUACCAGUAAGUACUAUCCGGGAGACACACGGCGGGUGCUAACGUCCGUCGUGGAGAGGGAAACAACCCAGACCGCCAGCUAAGGUCCCAAAUUACUACUAAGUGGGAAACGAUGUGGGAAGGCUCAGACAGCCAGGAUGUUGGCUUAGAAGCAGCCAUCAUUUAAAGAAAGCGUAAUAGCUCACUGGUCGAGUCGGCCUGCGCGGAAGAUGUAACGGGGCUAAGUAGUAAACCGAAGCUGCGGCAAUGCACUUUAGUGCAUUGGGUAGGGGAGCGUUCUGUAAGCGGUUGAAGGUGUGUGGUAACGCAUGCUGGACGUAUCAGAAGUGCGAAUGCUGACAUGAGUAACGAUAAAGGGGGUGAAAAACCUCCUCGCCGGAAGACCAAGGGUUCCUGUCCAACGUUAAUCGGGGCAGGGUAAGUCGACCCCUAAGGCGAGGCCGAAAGGCGUAGUCGAUGGGAAACGGGUUAAUAUUCCCGUACUUCUUACAAUUGCGAUGGGGGGACGGAGAAGGCUAGGUGGGCCUGGCGACGGUUGUCCAGGUUCAAGUGCGUAGGCUUAAGAGUUAGGUAAAUCCGGCUCUUUCUAAGGCUGAGACACGACGUCGAGCUACUACGGUAGUGAAGUCAUUGAUGCCAUGCUUCCAGGAAAAGCCUCUAAGCUUCAGAUUGUAAGGAAUCGUACCCCAAACCGACACAGGUGGUCGGGUAGAGAAUACCAAGGCGCUUGAGAGAACUCGGGUGAAGGAACUAGGCAAAAUGGUACCGUAACUUCGGGAGAAGGUACGCUCUCGACGGUGAAGUCCCUUGCGGAUGGAGCUAUUGAGAGUCGCAGAUACCAGGUGGCUGCAACUGUUUAUUAAAAACACAGCACUGUGCAAAAUCGUAAGAUGACGUAUACGGUGUGACGCCUGCCCGGUGCCGGAAGGUUAAUUGAUGGGGUUAGACUUCGGUCGAAGCUCUUGAUCGAAGCCCCGGUAAACGGCGGCCGUAACUAUAACGGUCCUAAGGUAGCGAAAUUCCUUGUCGGGUAAGUUCCGACCUGCACGAAUGGCGUAAUGAUGGCCACGCUGUCUCCACCCGAGACUCAGUGAAAUUGAAAUCGCUGUGAAGAUGCAGUGUACCCGCGGCUAGACGGAAAGACCCCGUGAACCUUUACUACAGCUUGGCACUGAACAUUGACCCUACAUGUGUAGGAUAGGUGGGAGGCUUUGAAGCACAGUCGCUAGAUUGUGUGGAGCCGUCCUUGAAAUACCACCCUUGUAGUGUUGAUGUUCUAACGUUGACCCCUAAUCGGGGUUGCGGACAGUGCCUGGUGGGUAGUUUGACUGGGGCGGUCUCCUCCCAAAGCGUAACGGAGGAGCACGAAGGUGGGCUAAUCACGGUUGGACAUCGUGAGGUUAGUGCAAUGGCAUAAGCCCGCUUGACUGCGAGAAUGACGGUUCGAGCAGGUGCGAAAGCAGGUCAUAGUGAUCCGGUGGUUCUGAAUGGAAGGGCCAUCGCUCAACGGAUAAAAGGUACUCCGGGGAUAACAGGCUGAUACCGCCCAAGAGUUCAUAUCGACGGCGGUGUUUGGCACCUCGAUGUCGGCUCAUCACAUCCUGGGGCUGAAGUCGGUCCCAAGGGUAUGGCUGUUCGCCAUUUAAAGUGGUACGCGAGCUGGGUUUAGAACGUCGUGAGACAGUUCGGUCCCUAUCUGCCGUGGGCGUUGGAAGAUUGAAGGGGGCUGCUCCUAGUACGAGAGGACCGGAGUGGACGAACCUCUGGUGUUCGGGUUGUGUCGCCAGACGCAUUGCCCGGUAGCUAAGUUCGGAAUCGAUAACCGCUGAAAGCAUCUAAGCGGGAAGCGAGCCCUGAGAUGAGUCUUCCCUGAUACUUUAAGUAUCCUAAAGGGUUGUUCGAGACUAGAACGUUGAUAGGCAGGGUGUGUAAGCGUUGUGAGGCGUUGAGCUAACCUGUACUAAUUGCCCGUGAGGCUUAACCAU
rnacentral:rRNA from 1 species